GACGAACGCUGGCGGCGUGCCUAAUACAUGCAAGUUGAGCGCUGAAGGUUGGUACUUGUACCAACUGGAUGAGCAGCGAACGGGUGAGUAACGCGUGGGGAAUCUGCCUUUGAGCGGGGGACAACAUUUGGAAACGAAUGCUAAUACCGCAUAAAAACUUUAAACACAAGUUUUAAGUUUGAAAGAUGCAAUUGCAUCACUCAAAGAUGAUCCCGCGUUGUAUUAGCUAGUUGGUGAGGUAAAGGCUCACCAGGGCGAUGAUACAUAGCCGACCUGAGAGGGUGAUCGGCCACAUUGGGACUGAGACACGGCCCAAACUCCUACGGGAGGCAGCAGUAGGGAAUCUUCGGCAAUGGACGAAAGUCUGACCGAGCAACGCCGCGUGAGUGAAGAAGGUUUUCGGAUCGUAAAACUCUGUUGGUAGAGAAGAACGUUGGUGAGAGUGGAAAGCUCAUCAAGUGACGGUAACUACCCAGAAAGGGACGGCUAACUACGUG
rnacentral:rRNA from 1 species